rnacentral:lncRNA from 1 species
CUCUAUAGAACACAUCCAUACCGUUACUAUUAAGAAGCAGAACCGCAUGAGCGUACGGUUUACCUCCAACGUUCCUCAAAUCCAUGUAAACCGGAUGCGAACCAUAAAGAUCGGUGUUGAGGUUAAUAGCCGACACAUCCUCCGUGUAGAGCGUGUAAGGCUCGUUAGGGACGAGUUUGAUCCCGUUGGCUUGCGAGUUUUCACCUAACCCGUAUAUGGACGCGUCUUUAGGUAACGAGGUUGAGAUCUCGAGGUACUGGUCCUUGAACACCAUCUCGCCAAAAGCUGAGUUAGAGCUUGUGUUGAAGAGCGUUUGGCCGUUGGAUCUACGUUUCACGGCGAAGCUGAACGGGUCUGUCGUGUAGCUGAAGAUGAGCUCCGAGCCGGAGAGUUCUUGAACUGUGAUCGGAGAUUUUCUUGAUUUUCCGAUCACUUUCCCCACCGGCGGCGGCUGUUCGCGGGGGAGGAGGUUGUAGGGGACCUCCCAUCGUUGUUUCUUGGCGUCUGUGAUGUGAACGCGGAGGCGAGUAUCGGUCUCGUGUCUGUGAGAGAAUCCAACGGUUAGAAAUCGAGGAGGUAGUGUAGGGUGCGAAGUAGAGGAUUAAGAGAGUGGUGCUAGUGCUACUUACUUGACGUAGAGGCGGAGGGUGGUGAUGUCUGAGCCGUAGAUUUUGUUCUUCUGUUUGACUUGGAGAUAGCCGAUGAAUCCACCGUCUGGAGAUUCUUCGAUUGAGAUCAAACGGUAGCCUUUGCCGAUGGUGUUGGAGCAGUGGAUGGGUGAGAAACAGAGGAUUAAAGCCACGAGAAGAGAAAGAGAUGAAAAAACUAUUCGUGAAGUGACCAUGGCUAUUUUUAUUCUAGUGAUACUCCACACUCUACAGUGUUAUGUGUAUAAUGAAGAAGAGAGAAAAGACCCUCGAUUAAAGAGCUCGAUGAUAAGUUCGCGAAACACUAAACGAGGGGAUAUAAAUAGUAGAAGAAAAUGUUUAGUCGUUCUUUUAUUUAUUUUAUAAAUAUAAAAAAACUGAUAUUACUAGUAUUAUUUAUCAAAGGGUCUGAUGAUGUCAACAAAAAAAUCAAAGGGUCUGAUAUUUAUUUAUGCGUGUAUCGAUUAAAAAUCGUUAAUACGGGGGGGGGCGGGGGGGCUUAAGCGGGCGGGCUAAAUGUGAAACUGGAGUUUUUUGGGCUUAAGCGGGCGGGCUAAACGUGAAACUGGAGUUUUUUUGCGUGCAGUUCAUUCGUAAAUCAUGGCAAGAUCAAGUGAAAUUCAGAGUUUAUUCCAUAAAUCUGUAGUCAAUUUUAUUUUCUUUUAAGUUGAAUAUGUAUAACCUUUUUAGGUGUCUGGUUAGAGGUUAUUUCCGAAAACCAAUCAGCUUUCAUACCGAGGAGGGCAAUUUCUCAUAAUGUAUUGAUAACUCACGAAGUGUUACAUUAUCUCAAGACUUCGGAAGCACACAAGAAUUGGUCUAUGGCUGUGAAAACAGAUAUUAGCAAAGCCUACGAUCGUCUAAAAUGGAAUUUCUUAGAAAGAGUCAUAUUCCAAAUGGGUUUCCACAUCAAAUUCGUCAAAUAGAUGAUGCAAUGCAUAACUACUGUCACAUACUCCUUUCUAAUUAAUGAUGAGGUGGCAGGGAAAGUCAUACCUUCUCGUGGGAUUCGACAAGGUGAUCCUAUUUCACCAUAUGUUUUCAUUCUCUGCGGCGAGGUCCUUUCUGGUCUUUGCAAAGAAGAUCAGCGUGAUGGUUCGAUGACUGGUAUCAGAGUGGCCACAAAAUGCCCCCGCAUAAACCACCUCUUAUUUGCUGAUGAUACGAUGUUCUUCAUCCACACUAACCACCAGAGCUGUAUCGCCCUGAAAGAUAUUCUAUCAGAAUAUGAGAAAGCAUCAGGGCAAAUGAUUAAUGCAAACAAGUCAUCAAUAUCUUUCUCAGCAAAAACUUCUCAAGAAGAGAGAACCCGAGUAAAGCAAACACUGGGAAUUGAUAAAGAAGGGGGAGUAGGAAAGUAUUUAGGUCUACCUGAGCUAUUUGGAAGGAAGAAAAAAGAUCUCUUUGCAUCUAUAGUAGACUGUAUCAAGCAUCCAACCAGGUCCUUCUCCAGUAGGACACUUCUUCCCUUUGGGGAUCGUGCACAAUCCAGAGCAAAAGUUUGAUACCUCGUUCAUGUCGAUCCAUAGACCAUCUAUAGGGACUAGUUCAUGGAAGCGGCGGAUUUCUUCACCCCACCAAGAAACAGUCUUAGGGUUAAGGAAAUCAGGAAAGUGAACUGCACCGGGCCAUACUUGGGCCAAGAAAGGCUUUCCUUCGUACUUGAUGAACACGUCAUUGGCCAUACCUCGUUGGUAUACACCGUAGCUGGAGUUGACACCAAUACCGGGAUCGUUGAUGACGACAUACUUCAUGCCCAUCUUGUGGAUUCUGUCUAAGAAGUUUAAUAGCUUGGCACGAGGGUAGCUUAUGGGACUCAACGUGAAGUCUUUUUUGGCAUCCAUGUGAUCAUCAUCGUUCCAAAUCACAUCAAGAGGGAUCUUAGCCUUUUGGUAACUGUCCACCACGUCUUCAAUAACUGAUAAGUUACGGUAUCCCCAUCUACAUUGGUGAAAUCCUACAACACAAAUAUUGAAACAAGAUUAUAAGUACUAUAAAAUCAAAUCAAAGAUUUGCUGUAAUAAAUACUUCUUUAAUGUCACAUUGCCGAAACCAAGAUUAUAAUGUCACAUUGCCGAAACCAAGAUUUGCUUCUUCUUUAAUGUCAACUCAAUGAUAGAACCGUGGUCCAGUGGCCACCAUGGACCAAUAUCAAGAUCAUUUAGGGACCAAUUAAAAAUUGCGAGGAUCAACAUUUAACAAAAGAGGAAAGCAAAAGAACACGUCUUCACGUUCUUCUUUAUCUUUUACUAUUUAAAACCCAUAAUUAGAAAGCGACCUCCAUUUAUUCUACAACAUAUCCCACAAAAAGGGUAACCUUUCUAAAAGCUGUGUCGGAGAAAGAUAACCUCUUAACUGUGACUCCAUUACUACAUGUGUCAAUUAUUACAAGACUAUUCAACACAUAGUUCAGUUUUAAAAACCAGAUUUUCUUUUACUAAAGAACAUAAAUCUAAUAGAUUCUCAUUAGCAAAGCAACUGAUACGCAAAUCUAUUUUCAGAAACAUAAUCAUUAAUCACAAAUCCUAUAAGACAAAAUCAUCUUUUAAUUUUAUUUUACCACACAACAUUAAUUUAAUAGAUUCUCAUUAGCAAAUGGUACAUAAAUGGGUGCAAUAAAGCCCUAGGCACUAAGCAAAAAUAACUGCUAACAGCAUUUUCAACCCCAAUGCAAAAUUGACUGCAAAAAGGAGUUGAUUAUGCAGUUGUGAAAAACAAAAAAUACAAUAAAUUUUGUAAUGGGUUGUAGAUGCUAUAAAACGCCUAAAAACUUUAUUAGAUUUAGAUGUCUAUUUAUAUAGAUAAAUCAAAAAUCAAAAAUAUAUAAUCUAUUUAUUUAUUAGAUGUCUAUUUAUAUAGAUUGAAGUUUAUAACAAAAAUUAUAAUACUCAUUUAUAGCAUAAUAUAUUAUUUAGUAUAAUUCAUAACUAAUCCUAUAAAACAAAUAUCAUCUUUUAAUAUUAUUUAACUACCAAAAAAAUAUAUUAAACUGAAACACAAAGGAGAAACAGAGCAAUAAAUGUUUUUACCUAGAGACCAGUACGGCAUGGGAGCUGGCCGUCCGAUUAACGAAGUGUACUGAUCAACGACGUCGAGCGGCGAUGGUCCGGCGACGAAGUAAAAAUCAAAGACUCCUCCAAUAACUUUAUAAGUCAAAGACGUUCCUCUAUAGAACACAUCCAUACCGUUACUAUUAAGAAGCAGAACCGCAUGAGCGUACGGUUUACCUCCAACGUUCCUCAAAUCCAUGUAAACCGGAUGCGAACCAUAAAGAUCGGUGUUGAGGUUAAUAGCCGACACAUCCUCCGUGUAGAGCGUGUAAGGCUCGUUAGGGACGAGUUUGAUCCCGUUGGCUUGCGAGUUUUCACCUAACCCGUAUAUGGACGCGUCUUUAGGUAACGAGGUUGAGAUCUCGAGGUACUGGUCCUUGAACACCAUCUCGCCAAAAGCUGAGUUAGAGCUUGUGUUGAAGAGCGUUUGGCCGUUGGAUCUACGUUUCACGGCGAAGCUGAACGGGUCUGUCGUGUAGCUGAAGAUGA